rnacentral:rRNA from 1 species
GUGAGCAGGAAAGAGGGGGAUCGCAAGACCUCUUGGCUUUAGGAGCGGCGAUGUCGGAUUAGCUAGUUGGGUGAGGUAAAGGCUCACCAAGGCGACGAUCCGUAGCGGGGUCUGAGAGGAUGAUCGCCACACUGGGACUGAGACACGGCCCAGACUCCUACGGGAGGCAGCAGUGGGAAUUUUGGACAAUGGGCGCAAGCCUGAUCCAGCCAUGCCGCGUGAGUGAAGAAGGCCUUCGGGUUGUAAAGCUCUUUCGGUGGGGAAGAAAUUACUUCGGUUAAUACCUGGAGUAGAUGACGGUACCCGCAUAAGAAGCACCGGCUAACUACGUG